AGAUCUGUUCUUAGCAACUUCCAAAUGUGUAAUACAACAUUAUUAACUAUAGUCACCAUGGUGUAUAUUUCAUCCCCAUUACUUAUUUCCUUUGUAACUGAAAUUUUGUGCCUUUGACAAGCUUCACCCACUUUGCCCACUCCUACCCCCUGCCUCUAACCACAACCAAUCUGUUCUCUGUGUCUAUGGGUUUGGGUUGUUUUUUGUUUGUCUUGUUGUUGUUGUUUUGUUUUGUUUUGUUUUUUAAGAUUCCAUGUAUAAGUGAGGUCUGUCUUUCUUUGUCUGACUUAAACUCCACUUAGUAUAAUGCUGGUAAGGUUCAUCUACAUUGUCCCAGAUGGCAAGGUUUCCUUUUUGUUAAUGGCUGAAUGGUAUUCCAUUGUGCGUAUCUAUACUGCAUUUUCUUUAUCAUCCAUUCACCCAUGGGUAGACACUAAGUUUGCUUCUAUGGCUUGGUUAUUGUAAAUAAUGCUGCAGUGAACGUGAGGGUGGCAUAUAUCUUUUUGAGUUAGUGUUUUCGUUUCCCUCAUGUACAAUACGCAGAAGUAGAAUUGCCACAUUGAAGCCCUAGAAUUAUUUUGGUAGGCUAAACCCACUGGUGAAUGCUGAUUAUCUUGCUGUAAACUUCCCUGUAGCGCUUGCCAGAACAGGCCCAAACCCACAAUGUAGUGAGGCCUUUCAGUGCCUUUGGAACACAAACAGGGUUUAAGAAUCACUCGGUUUUUCAUAACUGUAUCUAAAUUAUUUAAUUAGAGGGGAAAUUUUUUUUUUGUUAAACUAGUUAUUCUUUGGUGAUAUUUAUCUUGAUUAACAUCCAAGGUAAACAAGGUCUGUCCAUUGCAUCGUAAAUAUGAUGAAGUUACCAACUAUGUCAAAGUGAGUCCACAAAUAAAUAUAUGUCUAUUCCUAAAGUAAGUGAAGUUCUGAGCUUGGGUCUGUGGUGAUGGCAUACUCAGUAGCCACACAGUAUCCCAGGUUUUCCAUGUACUUAGGUUCUGGUGAGUAUUGAAGAAAAAUUUCCCCCAUCAGAUCCAAUCUCCUUUAUUUUGCCAUAAUUAUUAAUUAUGAAUGUGAUUGUUUAUAAUAACAGGGGCCAUUUGUAGUACCACGUCUGAGGGUAGGUUAGGUGAUGAGGACAUGGAAUUUCUGUUUAUUUAUGAUUCACAAAUCAUAGUCAAAGAGACCCUUGCUUAAAAUGCUGCGGGUGAUUUUUCUGCAAGUAAUUUUGGCAAUGAAGAAAGGAGCAAAUAAAUAAAUGAAUGCAUAGUAAGAAAUUAAUGAGUAACCUGAAGGAAGCAAAGUCAGGUUCUACUCAAGGCAGCAAAACUACCUAAGGAACUUAGGUAGUAGUUUAAAGAAGGGAUCUCUGACGAAAUGGCAUUUAAUCUCAGAUUGAAACCUAGCGAGUAUGAAGUGACCAUGUAUAUGUAGGUACCAGAGUAGAAAUGAAAGAUAACAGUGCUCAGUGUAGAGAUGACAGCAGUGCUUAGUUGUGUGGUUCUGAGAAGUGGUGUCAAAGAUUAAUCCUUGGAUAUCUGGUGGAUUUGUUAUUGGACUUGGAAGACUAGAAGACAAGAAAUUUUUAUUGUGGAAGAGUUGAUGGCUUCAUUUCAAAAUCUGUUUCCUUUUACAUGCGUACAGUACAUGCAGGUGGGGAUUACAGCACAGCAGUGGAGUCUAGCUUUGUCUGCUUAGUUACUGGACUGUCCCUUGGUGAGAAUACGCAGGAAGAGAGGAGCGACUGAGUUCUAGACCAUGCAACCACAGGAAUCUGUGACCUUCAAGGAUAUAGCUGUAGACUUCACCCAGGAAGAGUGGGCCCUGCUGGACGCAUCCCAGAGGAAGCUGUACAGAGAUGUGAUGCUGGAGAACAUCGGUCAUCUGGUGUCUGUGGGGUAUCGAGUUUGCAAAUCAGAUGUGAUUUCCCAGUUGCAGCAAGGAGUGGAGCUGUGGAGGGAAGGGAGAGGAUUUCCCCAAGGCGUGAUUCCAGACAUGAUUGCGGUCAGCCUAUCAUUGAAUCCCGCUGUUCUGAAAUCUAAGGGUUCUCACUGCCUGGGUGCUGCAGGAAGAAAUGUAACUUUUUCACCUCAGUCAUAAUUUGAUAAUUUGAUUUCUAAUGUUUUAAUUAAAAUAAUUUUUAAAAUGUGAAAAUCCCUAAAUUUUCACUAAAUGCAGUGCAGAUUGGUAUAGAUCAACUACAGUUCUUUUCGUUUAAUCCAGAGUUUUCAGAACUCUUCCGUCUAUAUGUGGUCAUGAGUCAACAGUUGGUGACCUUUCUCUGGGCUGCAGUUUUCCCCAAAGAAGAGCUGCGCAGUUUGGCUUUAGGAACUAAUAAACUGAGUUAGAGCUAC